CUUCACCGAGCCCAGCCAGAGCGGCUGCGCGCGGUCCUGCCCGUAGGUGGCCAGCAGGGCCUGCGCCUC
rnacentral:antisense_RNA from 2 species